GUCUGGGUGGUGUAGUUGGUUAUCACGUUAGUCUCACACACUAAAGGUCCCCAGUUCGAACCUGGGCUCAGACA
rfam:Oryza rufipogon genomic scaffold, chr01